rnacentral:lncRNA from 1 species
CUCGUCCCAGCCUGGAAGCCCCAAGCCUUCGUCCUCCAUGCCUGCCCUGGCUUCGUGGGGAAGGGGUGGGGAGCAUACCAGCCCCCCCCCCGCCCCACCCCGUCUGAACUCAGUCAGCCGACUGAACUCUGCUCUAUACCCUGGGGAAAGGGAAGAAUAGGACCAGGACGGCCGGCAGGAAAACAGGAAACUCCAGUCCCAGAGCAGCGGGCAGAAGACCGUCCCCAGGAUGUGGGCACUUCUCGCCAGAGGGUCCUGAGCCUGGGGCGCACUCUUCUGGUUUGGGCAGCGCAGGUCAUAUCCAGGCUUAG